GUACCGCGGCUGCUGGCACGGAGUUAGCCGGGGUUUCUUUACCUGCUACCGUCAUUAUCUUCACAGGCGAAAGAGCUUUACGAUCCUAAGACCUUCGUCACUCACGCGGCAUGGCUAGAUCAGGCUUGCGCCCAUUGUCUAAGAUUCCCCACUGCUGCCUCCCGUAGGAGUCUGGGCCGUGUCUCAGUCCCAGUGUGGCUGAUCAUCCUCUAAAACCAGCUAUGGAUCGUCGGCUUGGUAGGCCAUUACCCCACCAACUACCUAAUCCAACGCGGGCCGAUCCUCCUCCGAUAAAUCUUCCCCCAAAAGGGCGUAUGCGGUAUUACUCACCGUUUCCAGUGGCUAUCCCGCAGAAGAGGGCACGUUCCCACGCGUUACUCACCCGUCCGCCGCUCACCCCGAAGGGCGCGCUCGACUUGCAUGUGUUAGGCCUGCCGCCAGCGUUCGUUCUGAGCCAUGAUCAAACUC
rnacentral:rRNA from 1 species